UACAGAGGGUGCGAGCGUUGUUCGGAAUCACUGGGCGUAAAGGGUGCGUAGGCCGCACGGUAAGUCAGAGGUGAAAUCCCGGAGCUCAACUCCGGAAUGGCCUCCGAUACUGCCGUGCUCGAGGACUGGAGAGGAGAUUGGAAUUCACAGUGGAGCAGUGAAAUGCGUAGAUAUUGUGAGGAACACUAGUGGCGAAGGCGAAUCUCUGGACAGUUCCUGACGCUGAGGCACGAAGGCCAGGGGAGCAAACGGG
rnacentral:rRNA from 1 species